CAGAGCAUCCUCCGUUAUUCCGGGCAGGACCAUCUCUCGGUUCCGGCAUGGACGUGAAGGUCUUGCUGGGAAACUGCGCCACGCUCUUCUUCGUGGGCCUCGCCUGUGACGUCAUCGGCCUGAUCGUCCUCCUCGUGGGCAUCUUCGGCGACGUGCGCGUGGACGGCCGCUUCUACGGAGACUUCCUGAUCUUCAGCGGCUCCCUCGUCAUCUUCCUCAGCCUGGCCUUCUGGGUCAUGUGGUACGCGGGCAACGUGAGGACGGCGACGAAGGCGAGGAGGAAGAAGAGCAGCCUGGCCCGCCUGGUGAGGAAGAUCUCGGAGAGGCUCACGCACAACAUGACCGCCGCAGCGUGCGUCAAGCGCGUGGACGGCGGCGACGAGGUCGGGGGGGCCACCGCGGACCCCCACCCGGCCGGUAAGGUCACGUGGGGCAAGUCCACGGCGUACGACAACGAAGGUUACGACCACGGAGGACUGGACCAUCACCAGGACUACAAGGAGAACAGGGAGGAGGAAGAGCUGUGACGUCACGUAAAUAACUAUGACUUUUAUUUCAUUCAUAUAACAAUGCUAACAUGCUCAGACGUGGACACGCCUUGUCCUUCACGCUUUAUUCCAAGAUUUCAAAGUUCGUGUCACAUGUUGGUUGUGGUCCCAAGACCAGGACACUGAAAGGGGGGCUGGCGUGGCGGCUCCUGGUGUUCCUCAUACGUUGUCCAGAUCUUCAUGUUAUUAUGAGAAUAAAUCAUCUUCUUCCUCGUCAGUCACGAACUUUCUGAUGAAGAGACGAAAGAAACGAGGUUGGUCAUGUGAUUCCGAUACGUCCGGUUCCCCUCCAGUAUACAGUAUACAAUAUAGAGUAUACAGUAUAGAGUAUAUGUGUGCUUAGACGUCUUUUAUUCGCCUUGUCAGCACAAAAGAGUCGACUCUUGUUAGCUGUUUGAACGAGAGGGUGUCACGUGACACCGUCUGACCGGUUCGACUGUUGGCUAAACAAACACUACAAUGCUAACACGUCCCCAGCUAUGACGACACGCCGAGCGCUGCCAGUGUACAAGAAGACGACAGCAGGUAGCCGGCGUCCUCCUCAGAAUGGCCCCGGACCCCCACAAACGCACCGCCUUCUUCCUGGCUCUGGCCGUCCUCCUGGAUGUCAUCGGCCUGCUCCUCUUCCUCAUCGGUGUCUUCUCCUCGCUGAGCUUCUGGGACUUUUUCGUGCUGUCUGGACCUCUGCUGAUCUUCCUCAGCCUCUUCCUGUGGAUCUUCUGGUACAUGGGCAGCCUGAUGGUGACCGAGGAAGAGCUGGGCCUGCCCAAAAACGACAUACUGUGACCUCCGGCAGGCCAGCGCUGAUGGCGAGGUGAGGCUGAAGCCUCGGCGGGACCAUGACACCGACAUCCGACAGCUCAGUGCGGCUUCAUGGAGGAGGUCAUCGUGAGGGACCACCAGCGGGGAUGAAGGACGUCAUUUGAGGACAAGUGGACGUUUCUGAUGGACGUUUGGCAGCAGAGACGCGGUCGUUGUGUUUGUGGCGAUGACUUCCUGUCAGCACCUUUCAUGCGGCGCAGGAUUUUUGCACCAGGAAGAGAAAAGAACACGGUUAGUCAUGGCGUGUGCUCUGUACUGCAGUACUACUGCACUAAGUACACAUGAUAAGCAACAGGUGGCGCUGAAACCCCCCCACCUGUAGGACCAUGUCAGCCUGAGGAAAAGACCCCUGGUGAAAAAGUCAUUCUCUGAAGGUGGAGCCUAUCGCAGCUGACCGAGCCAAAGAGGCGGGGUUAUUCCUGGCUUGAUUGACAGCUAAUAGCAGGCCAAUAUCGCUACCUGUCAACAUUUGUAUUGGACAAUAAGGCAGAGAAAAUAAGGAAUGCCUACAGUGACAGACGGAGAUUUCUUGCUCAUUGCGUUGUUGAAAAGAGUAUAUGGAGUAGCUAAAUAUAGCAGCAAGACCUAUCCUUCUUGCUACAUCUUCUUACUCUCUGGCAGACCAGCUGUGUUAUAUUCCAGAUUUUAAAUGUCCUAACGUGAGGACAUCCAGAGAGGAAGCCUCACAAACACGCCCCGUUCUUAGCAACAUAAAUCAACACUCAGGGCGCCAUUAGUCCUCUCAUGGCGGGCAUCCUUAAUGGUGUCCAUUUGCUUCCCGGCCCUCGGAGAGGAAGUGGAGGGGAGGCGUAAUGGAGCUCUCUUUCUGCAAAGAGAUGCAAAGUACUGCUUGCUCAUCUUUCCUCGAGGGACGCCUGCCUCCUCCUCUGAUGUUUGUUUGGCUGAAUGGUCUCCAUGGUGCACGUCCUCGCGGUCCCGGUGUCCUCAUGUUUCACCCUCAUUCUGACUGGAAACAUCAAGACUCAUGAUGUCAUGGUACGUUUUGGGUCAGUGAUGUCCGUUAGCGGCAAUGCUAUGUGUCCCCAGCGGAAAGACAACAAAGAGCUCCAUGUGAGGCAUAAAAACACGAGGAGGAUAUCGUCUAACAGCGUCCCGGACAGACAGCAUUAUUGUUAGCUUUCUAGGUGGUGCCGCCAGCGGGGUAAAAGGUCACGGAUGUUUAUUGUCGGCUCUCGGCCUCACCCUUUACGUCAGCCCUUCAGUCUUGGGAAAUAUAUUUCACAAGAAUUGUCCUCAUAGUAAACAUAAUUUCAAGCCAAUCAGGAUGCUCCCAUACGCACCGCCAAUAAUGAUUGUGUAUUAUUUACACCUUUAACAUGAUUAAAGUUAAGAAGGAAGAAAGGAACUGAGGAUGUGUUCAUUAUUCUGCUCUGUUGGCCACACCAUGACGUAACUAUAGUAUAAAGCACUGUGCGAGUGAAUGGCUCCCUCUCGUGGCCACCGGUGGUGUUUGACAUUUUGCAACGUCAAUACAGGUGUAACCAUCCUCGACGUUUUUUGAAAUGAUUAAUUUCAUAUCCUUAGUACAUUUU